UUUCAAGGUCUAAGGCCUCUAGGCGUUAUCAAGUUUAUUUGACAGAGUAACAUGUGGGUGUGGUUGAGUUCGGAAACAGACUAGAGUUUAGUAGUAGAUAUUUAAGCUGGUAUAGUUUUAUAAGUUAUUGCCGUCUAUUCCUGAGUUGACGUAAUAUCAAGUCUGGUAAAAAAAGGAACAAAACAUGGGCUGUGGAUUUCUGUGGACAAUUCUGUGGUUGAUAAUACUUGUAUGUUUGGCUUAUCCAAUUGCAUUUUUUUUGGCCGGGUUUUACGUUCUCCUCAGCCCUCUUGAUGCUUGCUGCAGCGGUUGUCACGAUAUCGUCAGCUUCUUGUUGCGUGGGACGCAACUUCCUCUCACAUGUGCACAAAAUAUGGUCAGCGGGAAACCAUUGUUUUAAUUGGCAGAUUUAUCUCAAAAAAACACCUUACAGCCUAUCUUAUGGGUAGAAUCGGGAACAUACCGAACAUCAAACCCACAACCAGAGCCGAUGCAUCCAAACUCGCAUGAACAGCUCGGUGUACUUUCAUCAGCUGGAAGGCACGAUCUGUUAUGACUAUUAGUAUAUUUGUUGUAAAUUUGUUAUGAUUUUCAAUACUUAGAAUAUAGAAAAAAAAAAAAAAUGUGGUGGUCUUGUUGUCUUUAUUGAGCUAAUUCGAAACCUUUUACUUAAUUGAUUGCAUUGUAUUAUUUUUGAUAGAAUUUAAUUUCUGGUCUACGAAUUUAGAAUAACAUUUUGUGGUAGUCAUCUGUUGAUUUGAAUAAUGAAUUGAGUAAUUUUAGGAAAUGUUUUACUUUUAUACCCAAAAGUUUUCUUAAUUCUUCAUUUCCUAAUUUUCAAUGUAUAAAAUAUUUGUUGUAGUAGUUAUGAUAACAUUUAUUAAAAUGUAUUUUUGUUUAUUAGCAUAUAUAUAUUGUGUGUGUGUGUAUAUAUUAUUAAGGGUUCAGGUUUCAACAGACAGAGACAGAAUAUCGAUAUUAAUCGCUAUGGUGACAAGGUCCGUAGAAUGAACAAAAUGAUAUCGUAUUUUUAAUUAUAUAAUUAUAAUUAUAUUUCCUGAUAAUCAAAGUAUAAAAAAAUCUGUUCAUUGUCUUACAAGUUUUAUAGAUGGCUCUGUAGACUUUUAUUGUAUAAUUUGCUACUGCAGAAAGGCAUGUACACUUGUAGUUUUCUUUUUUCUUCUGUGAAGUUCUAUGUCUUCUGAAAGAUAAAUUAAUAAAACAUUCUAAACUCCUAUAAUAUUUAUGGUAACCGAUUCGCUGAUGGUGAAAAUAAAUAUGAAUUAUUAUUUCCAUGUAAAGUAUUUGUGACUUAAAUUUCAUAUCUUGCAGAACAUUUUCGUCUUGUUAAACAGUUUACGUUUCCAAAUUUGAUCAUUUCCAGUUAAUCUCUGUUUUUGUAGUGUAUUAAUUUUUUUAAUAGUAUAGUUUAGAAACUAAUAUUUUCAUCUCGGAGUAUCCUAUUACAAGGUGACUUUUUUACGUCCUACAUAUUCUAUUCUUAAUCAAUUACGUAUGGCAAGUAAUAUUUCGCUACACAUUUGAGAGAUUCAAUUGACUCUGAAUGAUGUCCUUCUCCACCACGUGACGUAUCCGAACACUAAUUGCUUACAACAUUGAACAUUGUGACCUAGGAUACACACACACACACACACACACACACACACACACCUGUUCGGAAGGACAUAGCAUUUGAGGGUUCCGCGAAGAAGAUCCAGCACAAUAUCUGCGGUGUAUGGCCACGUUCCGCCCUGUUGAAACGAUUGACAUGUCAUAGAUUUCCCAGUAUCCUCGCUAUGUAAUUUCAGGUAACAAUCAGGUUUAACAGUCGUGGCAAGGAAUACGCCAUGGGUGAAAUGGUUGGCCAUUGAGGACAAGCUGGUUCUCCGGUGCCCCAAUAUCGCAAUGAGCCUCGUCGGAGAACCAUGUUGUGUUUAAAGUCUUCGUAUUCUUGUUUCGUGGGAAAAAAAGCUUGUGCUUUUCCUUCACAACAUCGCUCAGUGGUUGUGCAAAUUAAAUUUUAUUGGGAAGAGCACAAAGACCUGAAAGGCGCUUUACGACAGUUGCAGCUCCUGUGAUAACUGUCGAAGAUCUCGCAGGGUAUGCACACGCCCCCCCCCCUCCUGCUUGCUCGGAAGUGCAUAUAUAUAUAUAUAUACUUGGCCGUCCCGAAUGUUACUUUACAUUGAUCUAAAAUGCUUUAUUUUUUUAACUGUUUUACUAACCGUAUAAUUGUGACCUUAUAUUGACGAACAGUCAGUGCUUCCCGUAUUCCGAACUCCGCUGAAUACAUGCUGAUGAACCUCCGUUAUGGUUUUCUGUUUCACACUAUACGUCACUAUGUGCUGCAACACACCGUACUUGAAUCUCCCAAAUUGCCAAGUUUUGUACAGUUCACAUGUCAUACGUCAUAUUUUUUUACAAAGUGUAGGAUUUAUAAAAUAUCGCCCUGCAAAUAUUCAAGCCUGUAAAACAGCAAAGUCUCGGAUAAAACUGUAAAUUCAGCAUGCCAGGAACUGAAUUUUAAUUUUAAAAAAGUGCUGGGUAAUUCAAUUGAAAUGCAAGUAUGUAUUUAAGAGGUUUUCGUCAUUGCUCAAGCGUAGUAUUUUGUUAUAAGAUUAUUUUAUGAUGGGCGAAAUCCUGAAAAUUGUGUAUACUUGGAAAGCAGGGUAUGUAAUUUUACGAAGAGAAGUAAUUUUACAUUUUUUAAGUACGAAUUGUGAUCAAAAAAUUGGAACUUUAUACUAGGUAACAUAAAUAAUAACUUAUAAUAAAAUGUUUAUCUUGUAAAUGUUUAUUUUAUAAUAAAAUUGUUUUAAUCAAAAGUUAAUUGAAAAUAAACAUUAUAUCGCGGUUGAAUUACGUUUGUAUUAGAAUUGAAAAUUGUCUUGUAAGCUAAUAUUUCUUAGUUUUGCUUUCCUGUCUCGCUUAGUGAUUUUUACAUGUUAGCAUAAAAUCGUUCACCUGUUUCACCCAAGGUUGACUUUUUGAUGUUUCAGCGAAGGAGAUAGAGAAAUGGCAGAGAUAACAUUUCUCAACUAUAUUAAAUAAAAUCGGCAGAUGUACUGGUAGA